rnacentral:rRNA from 1 species
CCUACGGGCGGCAGCAGUGGGGAAUAUUGGGCAAUGGGCGCAAGCCUGACCCAGCAAUGCCGCGUGAAGGAAGAAGGCUUUCGGGUUGUAAACUUCUUUGACAGGGGAAGAGCAGAAGACGGUACCCUGAAAACAAGCCACGGCUAACUCCGUGCCAGCAGCCGCGGUAAUACGGAGGAUGCGAGCGUUAUCCGGAUUUAUUGGGUUUAAAGGGUGCGUAGGCGGAGCGUUAAGUCAGUGGUCAAAUUGAGGGGCUCAACCCCUUCCCGCCAUUGAAACUGGCGCUCUUGAGUGGAAGAGAAGUAUGCGGAAUGCGUGGUGUAGCGGUGAAAUGCAUAGAUAUCACGCAGAACCCCGAUUGCGAAGGCAGCAUGCCGGCUUCCUACUGACGCUGAAGCACGAAAGCGUGGGGAUCGAACAGGAUUAGAUACCCGAGUAGUC